GAGGAGAGGAGAGGAGAGGAGAGGAGAGGAGAGGAGAGGAGAGGAGAGGAGAGGAGAGGAGAGGAGAGGAGAGGAGAGGAGAGGAGAGGAGAGGGAGGAGGAGAUAGACCAUAAAACACCUGGAGGAGAGGAGAGGAGAGGAGAGGAGAGGAGAGGAGAGGAGAGGAGAGGAGAGGAGAGGAGAGGAGAGGAGAGGAGGAGAUAGACCCUAAAACACCUGGAGGAGAGGAGAGGAGGUAGACCCUACUACCCCUGGUGGAGAGGAGAGAGGAGGAGGAGAUAGACCCUAAAACACCUGGAGGAGAGGAGAGGAGAGGAGAGGAGAGGAGAGGAGGAGAUAGACCCUAAAACACCUGGAGGAGGAGAGGAGGUAGACCCUACUACCCCUGGUGGAGAGGAGAGAGGAGGAGGAGAUAGACCCUAAAACACCUGGAGGAGAGGAGAGGAGAGGAGAGGAGAGGAGAGGAGAGGAGAGGAGAGGAGAGGAGAGGAGAGGAGAGGAGAGGAGAGGAGAGGAGAGGAGAGGUAGACCCUACUACACCUGGUGGAGAGGAAAGGAGAGAGGAGGAGGAGAUAGACCCUAAAACACCUGGAGGAGAGGAGAGGAGAGGAGAUUGGAGGUCGACCCUACUACACCUGGAGGAGAGGAAAGGAGAGAGGAGGAGGUAGACCCUACUACACCUGGAGGUAGACAGGUAGACAGGUAGGGGUGGAGUGGAGGUGCUCCUACCUUUUCGGCAUACGCUGACUUUGAGCAAGCCGGUGCCCAGGCACUCUUUGGGGGAGACACAGAAUCCUUCGUUGGCUGGGUUCUCCUCCUUGCUUGCCAGGACAUCACGAGGAGGGGUGAAACGAUACGCUGGGAGCCCCUUCACCUUCACAUCUUUCUCAAACUCCAUGAAGAUGGACCUGAGGAUCACAACAAACAAUCAAUUAAAUAAUCCACCAACCAACCAAAUAACCAAACCAUGACGUUACUGUCUGAAAAGAAACAAAGCACUGAGAAAUAUUACCGUUUUUAGAUUCAUAUCUCACAGUUCAUACUUUAUACAGUUCCUACUACUUUGCAUUUCAAUUCAGGAAGGAAACCGAAAUUCUGAAUGGAACUGACCCAAACCCUGCUGGUACCUCCAGUUGAUCAUUAUGUCGUUCCCCUAAUCUCACAACCCAGAAUCCCCUAAUCUCACAACCCAGAAUCCCCUAAUCUCACAACCCAGAAUCCCCUAUUCUCACAACCCAGAAUCCCCUAAUCUCACAACCCAGAUUCCCCUAUUCUCACAACCCAGAAUCCCCUUUUCUCACAACCCAGAAUCCCUUAUUCUCACAACCCAGGAUCCCCUAAUCUCACAACCCAGGAUCCCCUAUUCUCACAACCCAGAAUCCCCUAAUCUCACAAACCAGAAUCCCCUAUUCUCACAACCCAGAAUCCCCUAUUCUCACAACCCAGAAUCCCCUAAUCUCACAACCCAGAAUCCCCUAAUCUCACAAACCAGAAUCCCCUAUUCUCACAACCCAGAAUCCCCUAUUCUCGCAACCCAGAAUCCCCUAAUCUCACAACCCAGAAUCCCCUAUUCUCACAACCCAGAAUCCCCUAAUCUCACAACCCAGAAUCCCCUAAUCUCGCAACCCAGAAUCCCCUAAUCUCACAACCCAGAAUCCCCUAUUCUCACAACCCAGAAUCCCCUAAUCUCACAACCCAGAAUCCCCUAAUCUCGCAACCCAGAAUCCCCUAAUCUCACAAACCAGAAUCCCCUAUUCUCACAACACAGAAUCCCCUAAUCUCACCACCCACCAUCUCAAAUUGUGCACUAGCUAGCUAUUUAACAAAAUGUACAUAUGUUUACACCUUUUUUUCAUGAGAUUAACAUUCCCCCAGUGGAACAUAGUGCAUAAACUUUGGAGGUACCAAAACUGGAGGUACCACAACUGGAGGUACCACAACUGGAGGUACCACAACUGGAGGUACCACAACUGGAGGUACCACAACUGGAGGUACCACAACUGGAGGUACCAAAACUGGUACCUCCAGUUGACAGUUGACUUGGAUCAUUGCCAAAUAGUCUUUCUGCCGAUGUGCAUCAGCUCGUCUGUAAUACUCAAAACAAUGUGUGUAUAAACAAUGUGUGUAUAAAGGUUGUUGGACAUGAAUAAUGACUGGAACAACAACUUCCUAUUGUAAAUAUAAUACAAAGAACAGGAAGUGGGCUGGGAGCCACUGGCUGCUUCCCAAAGGUCAAAUAGUGCACUAUGUAGGAAAUAGGAUGCCAUUUGGGAUGUCCCCUUCAGCCACAAUAACAGAUGACCAGUCGUUUGGUCGCUGCUACUUAUGUGUGUAAGAAGGUGAAAGGGUUUUUUCAAACAUUCAUUGGAGGUUUUGACGAGUUAAAACUGUGCUCCUGAUGAAAAUGGCAGAUGCACAUGCCAAUCCAGCUGAUUACUUCCGUCCGUCCUGAACAAAGGGGGGGAGGAAGUUCGCAGUAGUCGACUUGUCCCUGUUUUUUAGGUCAAGGUUCCCAGCUAAAAUAGACCGAUCCCCCCACCCACACACUCCACCAAUCAACAACAAGGGGAGAGUCUCAUAUAUUUAGGUGAAAAGUCAUGUAGAGAUACAAAGAGGUUAAUUGGGCGUAUCAAAAUACAAGCAGGGAUGGGUAAAAAUGAC
rnacentral:lncRNA from 1 species